GUGCAGGCGGUCUGCCAAGUCGGAUGUGAAAUCUCCCGGCUCAACCGGGAGGGUGCAUUCGAAACUGACGGACUAGAGUGCAGCAGAGGAAGAUGGAAUUCCCGGUGUAGUGGUGAAAUGCGUAGAUAUCGGGAAGAACACUAGUGGCGAAGGCGGUCUUCUGGGCUGUAACUGACGCUGAGGCCCGAAGGCGUGGGGAGCAAACAGGAUUAGAUACCCUGGUAGUCCACGCAGUAAACGAUGGAUACUAGGUAUGGGGAGUAUCGACCCUCUCCGUGCCGAAGCUAACGCUUUAAGUAUCCCGCCUGGGGAGUACGGUCGCAAGACUAAA
rnacentral:rRNA from 1 species